AACGAACGCUGGCGGCAGGCCUAACACAUGCAAGUCGAGCGAAGCCUUCGGGCUUAGCGGCGGACGGGUGAGUAACGCGUGGGAACGUGCCCUUUGCUACGGAAUAGCCCCGGGAAACUGGGAGUAAUACCGUAUGUGCCCUUCGGGGGAAAGAUUUAUCGGCAAAGGAUCGGCCCGCGUUGGAUUAGGUAGUUGGUGGGGUAAUGGCCUACCAAGCUGACGAUCCAUAGCUGGUUUGAGAGGAUGAUCAGCCACACUGGGACUGAGACACGGCCCAGACUACUACGGGAGGCAGCAGGGGGGAAUCUUAGACAAUGGGGGAAACCCUGAUCUAGCCAUGCCGCGUGAUCGAUGAAGGCCUUAGGGUUGUAAAGAUCUUUCAGUGGGGAAGAUAAUGACUGUACCCACAGAAGAAGCCCCGGCUAACUCCGUGCCAGCCGCCGCUGUAACAC
rnacentral:rRNA from 1 species